CUCCGAGUUCCUCCGUGACGUGUUGGUUCUCGUGCACCUCUGAGCUGCUUUUAAAGAAAACAAAUUGUCAACACUUGAAGGAAACUAAGAAGAGGAAUGAGGUCUGUCUUUCUCGUCUUUAUGAGGUGAUGAUGUGGAGCAGUUGGAGGGUCGUGGUGACAGGACACAUCGCACACCACAUGCUGCGAGAACAUAAACAGAGAUCUUGAUUAAUAGGGUUUAAACGUCUUUAACUGCAGCUGCCGCCAGCAUCAGCUAAAUCUUGGUCAAGUAUUACGUAUAUUUAUUUAACGUUAAGUAGACGAAUAAUAGGCAGGAGAGUGUAUAUUAUUAUCACAUGCUGACUGUAUAUUUUCCCUCGCAUAUUAUACAGUAAAUAUGGUAUAAUUGAUAACAGCAGUUGAAUUUUU